rnacentral:rRNA from 1 species
ACUCCUACGGGAGGCAGCAGUGGGGAAUAUUGGACAAUGGGCGAAAGCCUGAUCCAGCAAUGCCGCGUGAGUGAUGAAGGCCUUAGGGUUGUAAAGCUCUUUUACCAGGGAUGAUAAUGACAGUACCUGGAGAANAAGNCCGGCUAACUCC